rnacentral:rRNA from 1 species
CCCGUACUUGGUGUUACUGCGAAGGGGGGACGGAGAAGGCUAUGUUGGCCGGGCGACGGUUGUCCCGGUUUAAGCGUGUAGGUGUGUGUUCCAGGUAAAUCCGGUUCACUUUAACACUGAGGCGUGACGACGAGGCACUACGGUGCUGAAGCAACAAAUGCCCUGCUUCCAGGAAAAGCCUCUAAGCAUCAGGUAACAUCAAAUCGUACCCCAAACCGACACAGGUGGUCAGGUAGAGAAUACCAAGGCGCUUGAGAGAACUCGGGUGAAGGAACUAGGCAAAAUGGUGCCGUAACUUCGGGAGAAGGCACGCUGAUAUGUAGGUGAAGCGGUUUACCCGUGGAGCUGAAAUCAGUCGAAGAUACCAGCUGGCUGCAACUGUUUAUUAAAAACACAGCACUGUGCAAACACGAAAGUGGACGUAUACGGUGUGACGCCUGCCCGGUGCCGGAAGGUUAAUUGAUGGGGUCAGCGCAAGCGAAGCUCCUGAUCGAAGCCCCGGUAAACGGCGGCCGUAACUAUAACGGUCCUAAGGUAGCGAAAUUCCUUGUCGGGUAAGUUCCGACCUGCACGAAUGGCGUAAUGAUGGCCAGGCUGUCUCCACCCGAGACUCAGUGAAAUUGAACUCGCUGUGAAGAUGCAGUGUACCCGCGGCAAGACGGAAAGACCCCGUGAACCUUUACUAUAGCUUGACACUGAACAUUGAGCCUUGAUGUGUAGGAUAGGUGGGAGGCUUUGAAGCGUGGACGCCAGUCUGCGUGGAGCCGACCUUGAAAUACCACCCUUUAAUGUUUGAUGUUCUAACGUGGACCCGUAAUCCGGGUUGCGGACAGUGUCUGGUGGGUAGUUUGACUGGGGCGGUCUCCUCCUAAAGAGUAACGGAGGAGCACGAAGGUUGGCUAAUCCUGGUCGGACAUCAGGAGGUUAGUGCAAUGGCAUAAGCCA